GCCUACGGGAGGCAGCAGUGAGGGAUAUUGGUCAAUGGGGGAAACCCUGAACCAGCAACGCCGCGUGAGGGAAGACGGUUUUCGGAUUGUAAACCUCUGUCCUCUGUGAAGAUAAUGACGGUAGCAGAGGAGGAAGCUCCGGCUAACUACGUGCCAGCAGCCGCGGUAAUACGUAGGGAGCGAGCGUUGUCCGGAAUUACUGGGUGUAAAGGGAGCGUAGGCGGGCGAGAAAGUUGAAUGUUAAAUCUACCGGCUUAACUGGUAGCUGCGUUCAAAACUUCUUGUCUUGAGUG
rnacentral:rRNA from 1 species